UCAUUUAACUAACUUAGGAAUUGAACCUUGAACUAUGUUGUUCAAAGAUUAUUUUGCUUCUGUACUGCUGACCAUGGUAUGCCUAACAUUUGAUACCCCCUUACUAGGCUAUUCCUGCCAAAAUGCUUUUCAAAGCAUCCUACAAACCCAUCAGCAACGGGGUAAAUUUCCUCGGAAUAGUGCAGUCAAGUUAUUAGGCGGGCGCGUUAUUUCACAGAUGGAGUGUCUUGAUCUUUGUCUUCGAAAUGCAAGGUGCGAUUUCUUCGACAUGAAACAAGUAUAUUCAGAGAAUUCUACGAAGCAUUGGAUUUGCUCAGUUAAGCAACGGUUAUCUGCCCCAGAUACAGAACUCGUUUCAUCGAGAGCGUGGUUUCAUUUCAACAUAAGCUCUCAUAACCUUCAAGAGAUUUUAUUAUCUUCGACUUCCACGUGCUAAAUGAAGAAUAUCUGUAUGUCUCUAUCAAGCCCACUGGAUCAGCAACACUUGAUUUUUCAAGCAAAGAUGGAAGUGGAAAAGAGCAAAUGAUUUAUCAAGAUAGAAUCUAGAGACUUAGUUCCACUCUGACCAGCUUUAUUUCAGAACAGUGAUCUAAGAUUAUAACCUAUUGCUGAUAAAGUAGUCAGGAUUUUCAAAUGUGAAAUUUGAUGAGUAACAUCAAUUUUUAUUAAACGUCCAAAAAGCAUUAUAGGCAAGGCCUAUAACUUUUUCAAAGACACCACGUUCAAAUUUAAACUUCUCCAUUCUUUUAAUAAAACGUAGCUAGUGUAAACGUCUGGACCGCAAGUUGAAGGUUCUGUGAAAAGAAAACAAAAAAUGUUUCACUUUUUUUUAAAUCAAAAAUAAAAUACCAAGUAUAAAAGGUGAGAGUAAAGGAAGUAAUUGUGAGGUAGACCAGGAUUUAAGCACUUUAGUUAGAAAUGAGUAAGUAUUUAAUCAGUAAGUAAUUGCAACGUUAACUUUAUAUUUCCAUUUUGAAUUUUUUUCUUCUGGCAAAAAAAGAAUGGCGACAUCAGGCCUUAAAUUUGCAUUCUGUUUAAUUUUUCUUGUAUCGGAAAGUUCCUUUUGCUGUGAGGCGCCUCACAGUGCUCUAUCCAACCGCCAGAAUAUACUGAAACAUCGUCAGAAGGUGGGACGUGUUCAUCCAGGGACGAGAAUGACUUAUUAAAUCGUGCGUAAAAAAGGUGGAAUACCUUGACAUCUGUUUACGAACUUCUAAGUGUGCUUCUUAUGCUUUGAAACCAGCAAAGCAUAAGCGCGGCACGCGCGCACGGUCUGUUUGGAUCUGUUUAAUAAACAAAGAAGCAAUUUUUUUCAA
rnacentral:misc_RNA from 1 species